rnacentral:lncRNA from 1 species
UAUAAUACAUGCACACUACAUUUUUAAUAUAUUGCAAACAUCACUCAUGUUCUUAGUGAUACAAACCAAAAUAAUUUAUAACACAUAUAAUACAUGUUUUAUUCAUGAAUAAUACAAGUUUAAUUCAGUCUAUAGAUUAUUGUCUUGUCUUUCGUUAGUUACGUUUUUCAUUUAUUCUUAAUUUUCUCUUCUAAUUCAACUUUAAUAUUGUGUAUACACUUUUAAUGCAAAUUUAAUUCAUUUUGUAGUUUAUUAUUUGUUACUAUUAGAUUACUUGUUUAAUUCAUUUUUUAUAUAAGUUUAAUUCACUUUGUAGAUCAUUGGCUGCUCUUUCAUUAGUUACAUUUUUUAUUCGUGCUUAAUUCUCUCUUCUAAUUCAAUUUUAAUAUUUGUGUAAUACACUUUUAAUACAAGUUAAUUCAUUUUGCAGUUUAUUGGU